rnacentral:rRNA from 1 species
GACGAACGCUGGCGGCGUGCCUAAUACAUGCAAGUAGAACGCUGAAGGAGGAGCUUGCUUCUCCGGAUGAGUUGCGAACGGGUGAGUAACGCGUAGGUAACCUGCCUGGUAGCGGGGGAUAACUAUUGGAAACGAUAGCUAAUACCGCAUAAGAGUAGAUGUCGCAUGACAUUUGCUUAAAAGGUGCAACUGCACCACUACCAGAUGGACCUGCGUUGUAUUAGCUAGUUGGUGAGGUGACGGCUCACCAAGGCAACGAUACAUAGCCGACCUGAGAGGGUGAUCGGCCACACUGGGACUGAGACACGGCCCAGACUCCUACGGGAGGCAGCAGUAGGGAAUCUUCGGCAAUGGACGGAAGUCUGACCGAGCAACGCCGCGUGAGUGAAGAAGGUUUUCGGAUCGUAAAGCUCUGUUGUAAGAGAAGAACGAGUGUGAGAGUGGAAAGUUCACACUGUGACGGUAUCUUACCAGAAAGGGACGGCUAACUACGUG